CCAAUAGCGUAUAUUAAAGUUGUUGUGGUUAAAAAGCUCGUAGUUGAACCUUGGGCCUGGCUGGCCGGUCCGCCUCACCGCGUGUACUGGUCCGGCCGGGCCUUUCCCUCUGUGGAACCUCAUGCCCUUCACUGGGUGUGACGGGGAAGCAGGACUUUUACUGUGAAAAAAUUAGAGUGCUCCAAGCAGGCCUAUGCUCGAAUACAUUAGCAUGGAAUAAUAAAAUAGGACGUGCGGUUCUAUUUUGUUGGUUUCUAGGACCGCCGUAAUGAUUAAUAGGGACCGUCGGGGGCAUCAGUAUUCAAUUGUCAGAGGUGAAAUUCUUGGAUUUAUUGAAGACUAACUACUGCGAAAGCAUUUGCCAAGGAUGUUUUCAUUAAUCAGGAACGAAAGUUAGGGGAUCGAAGACGAUCAGAUACCGUCGUAGUCUUAACCAUAAACUAUGCCGACUAGGGAUCGGAUGCGGAUCUUUCGGGACCCAUCUGGGAGCUUCG
rnacentral:misc_RNA from 1 species